AUAAUUCCGGAUAACGCACAUAUGCUGGAAUGCUUUAUGCGUCAAAUGGAUUCGUCCGCCCAAGGAUGGGUCUGCGGCCUAUCAGGUAGUAGUGGGUGUAAUGUACCUACUAGCCUACGACGGGUACGGGUUGUGAGAGCAAGAGCCCGGAGAUGGAUUCUGAGACAUGAAUCCAGGCCCUACGGGGCGCAGCAGGCGCGAAAACUUUACAAUGCGGGAAACCGUGAUAAGGGGACACCGAGUGCCAGCAUCAUAUGCUGGCUGUCCGGGUGUGUAAAAUACACCUGUUAGCAAGGGCCGGGCAAGACCGGUGCCAGCCGCCGCGGUAACACCGGCGGCUCAAGUGGUGGCCGCUAUUAUUGGGCUUAAAGGGUCCGUAGCCGGACCAGUUAGUCCCUUGGGAAAUCUUACGGCUUAACCGUAAGGCUGCCAAUGGAUACUGCUGGUCUUGGGACCGGGAGAGGUAAGAGGUACUUCAGGGGUAGGAGUGAAAUCCUGUAAUCCUUGAGGGACCGCCAGUGGCGAAGGCGUCUUACUAGAACGGGUCCGACGGUGAGGGACGAAAGCUAGGGGCACGAACCGGAUUAGAUACCCGGGUAGUCCUAGCCGUAAACGAUGCGAGCUAGGUGUCACGUGGAUUGCGAAUCCAUGUGGUGCCGAAGGGAAACCGUGAAGCUCGCCGCCUGGGAAGUACGGCCGCAAGGCUGAAACUUAAAGGAA
rnacentral:rRNA from 1 species